CCAUCGUCAAUAAUAAAUAAACCUAGCACUCCACCGCAGCUCGCACUCCACAGCCGCCCCACCGGUCCACCGCGUCGCACACUCGCCGUCCUCCGCGUCGCACAGCCGCCGUCCACCACGUCGCACAUCCGCAAAAAACAAGAGAUACGAAUUCUGUUUCGAUGGAGCUUACGAUCGAGAUGCGGUUGAAAGAUCUGGAGUCUUGAUGCCGAUUGUGAGAAUCUUAGAGAAUGAGUGGGUGAGUUUGGCUGGAAUUUAGAGAAGCGUCUCAUUAAUUAGGCGAUUUGGGCGAAAUAGGCUGUCAUUGGAGCGAAUUACAGCGGAGAUUCGAACAAGUCUUCGUAUUGACGGUGAGGCGUAGGUUGGAUCUGUGAAUGCAGGAAAGAUUCCCAUAGGAUUCUACACACUCCGCACUGUGAAACUCAAACUUGGUUUGGUGCUCCCACUAGAAGAUGGUCCUUUGAGUUCUGUAUGGAGAAACGAAGGAAUUUAUGUCAGUACCAUAGAUACUAAUGGAAGUUUGAAAGUAGACUGGCUAAAGUGAAAUAGGUUGAAGAAACAAGUGAACAUCUUUUAUUAGCCCUCAAGGCAGAGUAGGAAGAACUAGAGUCAUCCCUCAACAAAGAAAAAUUGCAAACACUUUAGUUGAAGCAAGAGUUAGCAGAUGCGGAGACUCGCAACACUGACCUAUACAAGGUAACUACUGCUGGCCUGCCACAAUUUGAGCUGAAUAUGGUUCCUCAUUCUAUUAUCUCCCACAAUUCCCAUUCUUGACUAAAGUAUGCCAGAAUGAACCAGCAAGCUCUAAAAUUUUGUAAAAGUGCAGAUUGGGUGUUUAUUAUUGCCUCCCAUAUCAGCAGGAGCUAGAUUUUUUGUUAUCCAAGAAAUUUUCAAUAUAUUACUGCAAGCAUUAGUUCUCUUCUUUACUUCCAAUGGAAAUAGUUGAACCUAGGAUACAUUAGAAGAACUUGUUCCUUGUUACUUAUUUUACUAUUUCUUUUUCUAAAUCCACUAGUUUUACAUUUUAA